CCUGCUUGUGGCUUGCAGCUCUGGUGAAAGCUCCAGCCACGAAGCUCCCAGAGCCUUUGACAUUCCCAAGGCAGUGCUGGAUGCAGCAGCGUUAAUUAGCCUUGAGGGCAAUGCAUAAUAUCGAUGAGAUGAUGGUAAUGGGAAUGCCUGUGGGCUCUGCUCUUUGCAGAGGGGUUGGACAGAGUGGCACAGUCUCCUCUGCACCUGGAGCAAGCAAUCCCCAUGGAAGUGGGAGGAAACUCUUAAUUCUUCUUAGUGCUCCAGCCUGCUGCUCAGCAAAUCCCCUCGCCCCUGGAGCUGCAGAUCUGAAAUGGCAUUAAAGAGGAAAUCAACCUUUUGCACAGUUUCCUCUUGGAAACAUUCCAGUUCUGCAGUUCUCGGGCUUCCCUCCGAUGGUGACAGCGCAUUGUGAGCGGUUCUGCCCCCGGGCCGGUCCCUCCUGCAGAGGAGCCACCCAUGGACGAGUUGAGCCUGCCACCUCCUGGCCGCACUCCCCGGCACUGACCGCAGCUCGGAGCUUCACAGCAGCACAUUUCGGCUUGGCUUCUCCCCCUCAUCCCCUCACCCUGACCCCAGAGAGCUCUUUGCUGUUGUGGAGUUGCCCUUGUGGCUCUGCUGUGGUUGCUCCUCUAUUGAAGAGGUGAGGCUCAGAAGCUCAGCUCUGUCCCUGCGAUGUGCUUCAGUUUGGUGUCUGAUGCUUCGAGGGGGUGGAUUUCCUGUGUGGAGAGCACACAGCACACAGAAACCCACAGAGCACACAGCACCCUCAGGAGGAGGGUCCCAGUCACCCUCUGAGGGUGCAGUCAUCCUCUGAGCCUGGCCUGGAGCCUGCCCCACCUGUGGCCACCACCUGCCCCUGGGUGGCUGGGGCUGGGUGCUGGGGGAGCCUGGUUUGCCCUGGGAGCUCACAGAGCCCUGUCCCUGCUCCGUGCUGUGCCUCUGGGUGAUCUCAUUGCAGCCACACUCAAAUACCAUCUCUAUGGUGAUGGCUCAGGCAUGCAGCCCCUCUCUGGGCUCUCCUCUCCCUGCCCAAAUUCAGAUCUCAGAGGAGCUCUCUGACAUCUCGUGAAUGUCUCACCACCCUUUCAAGCACGACACAGCCAAACCAGAGCUUUUAACCUCUCCUUCUCAGCUCAGGGGUUCCCUGAGCUCAGCAAGCCCAGGAUGCUGCUUUGCUGCCAGAACCUGAGUCCUGCCUUCAUCUCCCUCCUCCUCACAUUUCUUCACAUCCUGGGCACCUCACCACCUUGCAUAACCUUGCUAAGCCUCUCCUAAAGCUAAAACUCUCACCUUCUCUUUCUUCACAUCCCCCUCCACUUGUUGCAAUAUCCUUUUUUGGCCUCAACAAACUCGCUGUGGGCCAGCUUGCAUCCACUGGGAUGCUGUUUCAGGCCUUGCUUCCCACCUUUCCUGCCUCUCCUCCCUCAUCCUCUGGGCUGCCCUCCUGCCCACAGCCACCCUCUGCCUCCCCUUGGUGCCACCCAUGUCCCUGCCAGGGCUGUAUCCUCCUGUUAAUUCCUCAUUUUAUUUCUUACUGUGAGCUUUGGGCACACAGGGAGCUUUCUUUGCUGCUCUCCUCAGCAGUGCCAGGCAGCGAGGUGCUGCAUUUCAGUCAAGCUCCUAUUGACUGGCACAAAUGGGAAAAUUCUCUUGUGCGCAGGGAGAGGGGCACUGGAUGGACAAAGGAUUUCCCCAGGUUCUUGUCAGGGAGACAUCUCAUCCUCAAAGCAUCAGACACCAGACCCAAGCACUUCAAAGGGGACAGAGCUGAGCUCCUGAGGGACUCCAAGGCUGUCAUCUGUCCCUGGGGGUGCUGGCUGGGCAGGCUGGGGGACACAGCAGCACUGUUAGCUGCACCCUGCCAGCCAAGGGAUGGCAUUUCAGGUGCCAAUAAACAUCCCUGGCUCCAGGA